AACUUAUGGUUCAAAGGUAGUGAGUUAUCUCAAUUGAUUGUUCAGUUAUAGAUCAAGCUCCCUGUUCUGCUUUUUCCCCCUUCUCACUACUGCACUUGACUAGUUUUAA
rnacentral:Y_RNA from 1 species